GGAGGCCCUAGGGAGCUGAACUCAGCUGGACUGGACUUCUUUGACCUGCACUAGAGGGACCCUGGAGACUCUUCUUCACUGAAGGAAGGAGCAGAAAGCCGGAACAGCAGGAGGCUGAACUACAGGAAUCUCUGGUCACUCAUUGACAGGGCUGGCCUUAGCAGGGGACCCCCCACGGCUGGAGACUGAAGCUGACCGGGGCCAAGCAGCAGACAAGGAGGGGGAGGGGAGAGGCC
rnacentral:lncRNA from 1 species